UCGCAAGUAAAUCGAUGGAAUUCGACCCGAUCCCAAUCGGUUCCUGCUCCAAAGAGAACCAGAGCAUCUAUCAGCAGUUGUUUAAAUUACACCGAUUCAGAUUCUAUCUCUGAAUGUGCAAAGCAGGACAUGAUGGAAAGUAGAGGGAGCAAAGCAAUGGCUGCACAGAAAAAUGGGCGUCGAUUGAAUCGAGAAAGGAAAAUGGCUUUGAUACAAGAUGUAUGUGAUAAUUUAUUAGUGAAAUAAAUUUUCAGUACAUAGAGUAAAUUAAUGUUUUCAAACUUGACAGGUUGAUAAAUUGAAGAGAAAGCUGAGACAUGAAGAGAAUGUGCAUAGUAUACUUAAUACUUGCUUUCUUUCUUGUCAAGAACAAAGUCGAAGUGGCUGCACUAGAA